GGCCAAAGUGAGAAACAUAAAAUUGUAUGGCUCCUCAUUUCAUUGCCUGAAACCAAGAAGCUGGAUAAGUGAUGAGGUUAUUGAUGCAUAUUUGAGCUGUGUGGUCGAGAAAGCAGAUGGAAAGGUACAAGCCAUCUCAUCAGUAGUUUCUACUGUCAUUCUCUCAGGCAGAGCUCCACAAAUGAAAGUCAAGGUAAAUGCUAACACACUUUCAUACAUAGCAUGAGCAAAGCACAAUUUCAUUCAGUGAGUUAAACACAGUGUGAAACAGCAAAUACAAUGGUGUGUUUGAUGUGGAGGAGUAGUCUAAUAACAAAACAUGUACAUAAUACGGUAUUUCCCAGUUUCAUUACAUUUCAUUGUUUGCUUCACUGGAAACUAUAAUUGCAUUUCUAAUUUUUUUUAAUAGAGUGAAUUACUUCAAAAUGAUAUAUUAUUGCUUCCUUACCACACACCAGGUCAUUGGGUUCUUGCGAAACUUCAUCAAACAAUUAACUAGAAAAUCCUCAUCUGAUUGGAACAGUAAAAUUGUUCAUCAUCCCAGACAAAGUGAUGGCCACAACUGCAGACCACUCAUCUUAAAGAAAACAUGGAAGACUACUGCAUAUACUGCAACCUCAUCAACUGUGAAAAGGAAAGUGAGGAUUGCCCGAUGGUACAGUGUGAUUCUUGCAAGAGGUGGGCACAUAUGCCCUGCAUUACAGAAGGAACCAAUCAAGACUACCUGACUGAUGACAAGAAAGAGUACAACUGCAAAAAAUGUGCAUAGUUCACUUCUUUACUCCCCCC